GGAGUUUGAUCCUGGCUCAGGACGAACGCUGGCGGCGUGCUUAACACAUGCAAGUCGAACGGGAUCCAAGUAGUAGCAAUACCACGGAAGAUCUAGUGGCGAACGGGUGAGUAACACGUGAGGNACCUACCCCGGACUCAAGGAUAACAGACGGAAACAUCUGCUAAUACCUGAUGCCGUCGGAGCAUCACAUGGUGCACUGACGAAAGAAUCUCGGUUCGGGAGGGCCUCGCGGCCUAUGAGCUUGUUGGUGGGGUAACGGCCUACCAAGGCGUCGACGGGUAGCUGGUCUGAGAGGAUGAUCAGCCACACUGGGACUGAGACACGGCCCAGACUCCUACGGGAGGCAGCAGUGGGAAAUGUUGCGCAAUGGGCGAAAGCCUGACGCAGCAACGCCGCGUGCGGGAUGAAGGCCCUAGGGUUGUAAACCGCUUUCAGUAGGAACGAAAAUGACGGUACCUGCAGAAGAAGGUGCGGCCAACUACGUGCCAGCAGCCGCGGUGACACGUAGGCACCAAGCGUUGUCCGGAUUUAUUGGGC
rnacentral:rRNA from 1 species